CUUAAGAUGCUUACAAAAGAGGAACAAGGAUAUUAAAAGUCUUGAAUUCAGUUCAUCUGGUUAAUACUGUAGAGAUUAAUUAUAAAAGAAAAUUUUGUCAAUGUCCUCCAACCAGAGACCACCAGGAACACUUCUGCAAUGUGACAAAUUGGGUUUAUUACUCAUUGCAGUGAGGGAAAAUGCACAACACUGAAACCAUGGGGCAUGUGAGUAAGAGUGUUAGAAAAGACUUUAGGAUUUGGCUUUUGUCAGGUAGUUUUAGGGAGGGAUUAAGGAGGCAGGGCCUUGCUCUGAAUUGGAUGCUGUUGAGAAGCUGGGGUAAUUCUAUGACAGGGUAUCUUAAGUCUUAAAUAGAAUGAGAGAAGACUAGAAUGAUACUAAAGCUAUGAAGAAGCAACGGUUUACUUACAUUAGCCAAGAUGGAAAGAUGUUUGACCAUUUUUGUAGUUUGGGCAAUGUUUAUGUUUUUGUCUACGUUUAGUUAUGAUUACAGAGUGGUCUUAUCUGAUGCUGAAGUGUAAAACUCUUCAUACUCAACAACAGAAGAACAUUAGAACCUAGCUGUGAGUGCCAGGUCAGCACCCAGCAACGCUUAAGGCUUAACUGAUAAUAUCAGAUGAGCACAAAAAAGCUAGGGAGCUCCUGCAUAUCUUUCUCAAAAAAAAAAAUCAGACUUCCCAGUAGAACACUGUGGAUCUGCAGUUUUUUUGUUGUUUUAAUCAGCAGUGGAGUUGCACAAAUAUACUGUGCUGUUAAGCAUCUCUGCUUUUGCAUUUAGUAUUUAAUCUACCUAGACCAUCUAUUGAGUUAAUUAUUUUGCUGCUUUACCUGCUGUACUUUGUACAUCUAUUACAGUUACUGUACUGUUUUCCAGAUUGUAAGUUCCACAAAGCAAGGGGUUAGUGUCUUACCCUUUCUCACCCACAACACACGUAGCAUUUUGUGUUAAUAAAAUAUCCAGUAAAGUG